CCUACGGGAGGCUGCAGUGGGGAAUAUUGCACAAUGGGGGAAACCCUGAUGCAGCGACGCCGCGUGAGUGAAGAAGCGCUUCGGCGUGUAAAGCUCUGUCAGCGGGGAAGAAACACGGUUCGCGAGAGCCGUGGACGGUACCCGACCAAGAAGCACCGGCUAACUACGUGCCAACAGCCGCGGUAAUACGCAGGGGGCAAGCGUUAUCCGGAUUCCCUGGGUGUAAAGGGAGCGUAGACGGCGAGACAGGUCUGGCGUGAAAGGCCGGGGCCCAACCCCGGGACUACUCGGGAAACUGCCUGGCUGGAGUACAGGAGAGGUAAGUGGAAUUCCUAGUGUAGCGGUGAAAUGCGUAGAUAUUAGGAGGAACACCAGUGGCGAAGGCGGCUUACUGGACUGUAACUGACGUUGAGGCUCGAAAGCGUAGGGAGCAAACAGGAUUAGAUACCCGGGUAGUC
rnacentral:rRNA from 1 species